AUGGGGAUAACGAGUCGACGAUUGAAGCCCCCAACGUUCUGCCAGACACUAGACAGGGAUAUCUGGAUAGAUGGAUGGAUCUAUCUUUCUAUUCACAUAUCUUUUGCAAUCAGCCCCAAAUCCUUGAUUUGGCCAGGAAACAAAGCACUGCUUUGGGCCCAGGAAGCGAAGGGAAUGAGCUCGGCUGCUUCUCCCCCACACUUCUUUAUUUCUCCGUGCCCCUUCCGCAUGCGCUUCGCGCGCCAUUGGCGCUUUGCUCUCCUCUUAUUUCUUCAUUGGAGGGUUCGGAUGGACUUCGCCGUUCUUUCCCAACGAAAAUGGAAAGGGCUGUAUCACAUCGAGAUGUCGAUUCAUUUUCCGCCCCAAAUGAGAUGGGGAAUUAGUCACCUCUGUCCCUUCAUCUUUUUGAAAGGAAUCGAGGCCCGGUCCGGCUCGUGUCGUUCCAACAACCGACGGGGAGCACCUCAGUAUACGAUCGCGCGCAGUAACUGGGAGUCCUAUUACACCUAA
rnacentral:rRNA from 1 species